ACAACUUUUAGCUCUGAUCAGAUCAUAUGCCUUAUUUUUUGUUCUCUUUGAUUUUAUUUUUUUCCCUUUUCGUUGCUUCUUGUCUGGUACAUAUUCAUUGAUACCUUUGUUAAAACUGAGUCCAACUUUUCUACUUCUGACUAUAUGUGAUUGUUGUUUAAAUUUGUUCAAAUUCAAUUCACAUUUUGAUAUUGUGGCCUUGUGGGUUAUAAUGUGUAGUUGAAUUUCUUGUAUUGCAACAUCUUAAUUAGUUGAAUUGGGGCGGGAAAAAUUUGCACUUAUAAUGAGACAUACACAGGGCCUGCCCUGAAAAAUUAGAUGUCGAGUAAAGUUAUAAAUUCAUUCAUGAGUCUUUCAUAAUCAACGUCUAUAAGCAUAUCGUUCUUAACUGUGUCCUGUAUAUUUUUGUCAAGGAUGUGCAGAUGAAAUGUUUAUUUUUUGCGGUGCUCUUGUUCAUUAGCAUAAGCGGCUUGGCCUCCUGGCCACAUGCAUAUGCAUAUGCCGGGAUUUGCUUCAGUUGUGUAGUUGUAUACCUAUUUUUAUCUUCAGUAUUGUUUGAAUCAAGUAUUUAGUUUAAGGGCUAAAUGCUAUAUAUCAAUGAUUUUGUCUAUGUUAGAUAUAUUAGUCUGUGGAGCUCAGAGUCAUCUGGUUGAUGAGUUUUAGUAUUUUGUCGACACUUCAAAACACUAGAUUUUGUGAUGUUGUGUAUGUACGGAAAUUAUGGAGUUACUUAGAAGUUAGAAUCCUAAAGCGGAAAUGAAUUUGGUUUGAUGGUAAUUUUAUGCUCACGAAAGCAUGUGAUGGAAGGAUACUUUGAUCGGACAAAGUUGAUCUCCUAUAAUAGCUAGACGUGUUGGAGGGCCAUAUAUAUGUCUGUUGUGUUCAUAACUUGUGAUUGGCUUAUCUGUUGAGUGUUUUACGCUAGUUGUGGUAACACUUUGGGGCAUUUAGAUUAUAUCCUGACUUACCCUAAGCCAGUAAAGAAGAAUUAUGAAUCCAUAUCUUCUAUGAUUGCGUUGCGUAUGAUAUUGUGUAAUGGAGUCCAACUUGCCCCGACUUUUAUUGUUGAAGUUUCAGUAUUGUUAUGUGACCCUCAUGACUUUUUAGAUGUGACAUGCAAUGACGUUCUAGCAUGCAAACCUCAGCUUAGCCGCAUUACAAUAAUCAGGAUUUGGGUGCAUCCGCACAACAGGCAGAUUUUUUCAGAUUAUUCGUCCGUAUGCAUGUAACAUAAUUUUUGCUUCAGUUAUAGAGACAUAAUGAGCUUGUACAACAAAAGGACUCUGACUGACUUUAAGGUAAUUGAUAAUGUUGAGGUCCCAGAAUUUAAUGGCGUUCCCUGCUCAACUGUGAUCUUGAAGAAACAGCAGAAACUCAACUGUCUCCUUAUUGAACCGGUGGCAGCUUGGCUCAAAAGAUGAAGGGAGCCUCUUUCAAUUGGAAUUCUAACAUGCUGGAGAGUUCAGAUAUGCGCCAUCUUGAGAUUUUGGCUUCCCGAUGUCCUGGCUUUGCCUCCAAAAGCCCUCCAGAUGUGUACUGUGCUAAUGGUGGUGACUUGAACUUGACCAUUGAUAUUCUCAGUCAGCUUGAGGCUUCAAGUCAAAGGUGCUAUAAGUGAGAAUCACAUCUUAAAAGCAUCGUCAGCCCCAAAGCUUUAAAUGCACUUGAGUUUCCUGCACUCAUUGUUGUAGAUGGUCCAACAAGGUGUCAGUCCUUAUUGAUUGUCUCUGAAGGAAAAAUUGAUUGUAUUUAAAUCCAGCUCAUCCAGAGGGUCAUUGAUAUUGCCUCAACUGUGAGAUGGUGUCUGGGGAUUUCUGGUAUUUGGAUGUAUGAUGGAAAUGUUUGUGCAGAUGCGAGUGUCCGGUCACUCCAGUAGAACCCUUAUGUUUCACCUAGCUCUUACAAUGAAGGGCAAGGAGCAGCCUUAAUGGUGAUACAGGGUAAGGUCAAAAUCCGGCUCGUGUAGCUUUUGGUUGGCUUGAACUGGAAGAAGCAGUGGGUAAUUUUCUCGAGCCUAGAAUUUGGUUUCUAUGAUUCUUCAGUGUUGGGGGUACCUUUUGCAUAUAUAUGCCUUAGUUUUCUGGGGAUGGUAGCAAGUAUCAACUAUGUCAUCUAAAUCACUCCAGGAAGCUCAAUCCCCACCUCUGUCUCAUCGUCAUUUAAAGCAAAACUUUUACAUGACUGCAGACACGUUGCUUUGUGAAUCGCUGUACUCGCAACUGACAUACUUAGCCAGUAACAAGACACUGGAUAAAGAAUUGAGCACAAAAGGCAGGACAUGCUAAGGUUCAGGAAGCCGCUUAUCAGCAGAGGUUUGUUGUUUCAUAUCUGCUCCAGACACAAUUUUUGAACCUGCACUCGGAGGGUCAGGAAGGAGCUUGGUUGGUCACCUCUUGAUAACCUUGUUCGUUUUUGCCUUAAUGAUCCUGUAUUUUAAUUUUUAAUAUAUAUUGAGGGUGUUUGGCUUA